rnacentral:rRNA from 1 species
AACCCAAAGAAUUUGGCGGUGUUUUAGUCUAUUUAGAGGAAUUUGUCCCAUAAUCGAUAAUCCUCGAUUAUCUUUCUUAGUUUUGUUUAUCAGUUAGUAUACCGCCGUUAUAAGUUUAUUUUUUUAGAAUUUUAAUUUACUAUAAAAUGUAUUUCUUUAUAUUUCAGGUCAAGGUGCAGCUUAUGAUUAAGUGGAGAUGAGUUACAAUAUUAUUUUAAUAUAUGGAUUUAUUAUUGAAAUAUUUUAAUGAAAGUGGAUUUAAUAGUAAUUUUGAUUAUCUUGUCAUUUUGAUUUUAGCUCUAAAAUAAGUACACAUCGCCCG